rnacentral:rRNA from 1 species
GACGAACGCUGGCGGCGUGCCUAAUACAUGCAAGUAGAACGCUGAAGGAGGAGCUUGCUUCUCUGGAUGAGUUGCGAACGGGUGAGUAACGCGUAGGUAACCUGCCUGGUAGCGGGGGAUAACUAUUGGAAACGAUAGCUAAUACCGCAUAAGAGUAGAUGUUGCAUGACAUUUGCUUAAAAGGUGCAAUUGCAUCACUACCAGAUGGACCUGCGUUGUAUUAGCUAGUUGGUGAGGUAACGGCUCACCAAGGCAACGAUACAUAGCCGACCUGAGAGGGUGAGCGGCCACACUGGGACUGAGACACGGCCCAGACGCCUACGGGAGGCAGCAGUAGGGAAUCUUCGGCAAGGGACGGAAGUCUGACCGAGCAACGCCGCGUGAGGGAAGAAGGGUGUCGGAUCGGAAAGCUCUGUUGUAAGAGAAGAACGAGUGUGAGAGUGGAAAGUUCACACUGUGACGGUAUCUUACCAGAAAGGGACGGCUAACUACGUG